rnacentral:lncRNA from 1 species
UAUCCAGAGAGGGGAAAUGUUGUUAGAGGCACCAAAAUACCAUUAGAUCUGAAGAAAAUACAUUAGGAGAAUUAUAAAAAAGAGACAAUAAACUAAGUCUUCACAGAACUGUGUUGAGUCUUAUGGUAGUUUGAAAUAGGACCUUGAUUCUUCAUUGUGUUGGCUGGGAUUAAAAUCCAUGAUCACCUUAAUGUUCUUCUUACAAAGUAUUACAGCAUAAUAUUGGACAACCAUUUUAUCUUCCUGCAGCCCAUCUUCCUCCUUGGGACCUGCAGAACAGGUCCACACACAUAAGCAUGAUUUCUAAACUGGGACCCAUUUUCUGCAUGACCAUGAGGCUUACAGCUGGG